rnacentral:rRNA from 1 species
GAUCAUGGCUCAGGACGAACGCUAGCUACAGGCUUAACACAUGCAAGUCGAGGGGCAGCGGGAUUGAAGCUUGCUUCAAUUGUCGGCGACCGGCGCACGGGUGAGUAACGCGUAUCCAACCUUCCGCUUACUCGGGGAUAGCCUUUCGAAAGAAAGAUUAACACCCGAUGGUAUCUUAAGCACGCAUGAGAUUAAGAUUAAAGAUUUAUCGGUAAGCGAUGGGGAUGCGUUCCAUUAGGCAGUUGG